rnacentral:rRNA from 1 species
AUUGAACGCUGGCGGCAGGCCUAACACAUGCAAGUCGAGCGCGCGGCGGACGUGUGAGUAAUGAGUGGGGAUGUGUGCGGUAGAGGGGGAAAACUUGUGGAAACGGUGGCUUAUACCGUAUCCUCACGGGUGAACCCAUAUGGGAGUAGCUAGUCGGUGGGGUAAAGGCUCACCUAGGCGACGAUCUCUAGCUGGUCUGAGAGGAUGAUCAGCCACACUGGGACUGAGACACGGCCCAGACUCCUACGGGAGGCAGCAGUGGGGAAUAUUGCACAAUGGGCGCAAGCCUGAUGCAGCCAUGCCGCGUGUGUGAAGAAGGCCUUAGGGUUGUAAAGUACUUUCAGCGGGGAGGCGUUACCCGCAGAAGAAGCACCGGCUAACUCCGUGCCAGCCGCCGCGGUAAUAC